GUGGGGAAUUUUGGACAAUGGGCGCAAGCCUGAUCCAGCAAUGCCGCGUGCAGGAAGAAGGCCUUCGGGUUGUAAACUGCUUUUGUACGGAACGAAACGGUCCUGGCUAAUAUCCGGGGCUAAUGACGGUACCGUAAGAAUAAGCACCGGCUAACUACGUGCCAGCAGCCGCGGUAAUACGUAGGGUGCGAGCGUUAAUCGGAAUUACUGGGCGUAAAGCGUGCGCAGGCGGUGCUGUAAGACAGGCGUGAAAUCCCCGGGCUCAACCUGGGAAUUGCGCUUGUGACUGCAGUGCUGGAGUGCGGCAGAGGGGGAUGGAAUUCCGCGUGUAGCAGUGAAAUGCGUAGAUAUGCGGAGGAACACCGAUGGCGAAGGCAAUCCCCUGGACCUGUACUGACGCUCAUGCACGAAAGCGUGGGGAGCAAACAGGAUUAGAUACCCCAGUAGUCC
rnacentral:rRNA from 1 species